AGUGAAUAAUUAAACGGCCGCGGUACCCUAACCGUGCAAAGGUAGCGUAAUCAUUUGUCUAUUAAUUGUAGACCAGUAUGAAAGGCAAAAUGAGGGUUUUACUGUCUCUUAUAAUUAAUCAAUAAAACUGAUCUCCUAGUAAAAAAGCUAGAAUAAACCCAUAAGACCAGAAGACCCUGUGAAGCUUAAACUAAACUAUCAAACCCUAUAAUAACUACUUUCGAUUGGGGCGAUCUUGGAAAAAAAUUAAACUUCCAAAAACCGUGAUUAUAACCACAAACUCUUUUAGGCCUACAAGCCUCCUAAAUACAGACCCAGCAUAGCUGAAAAUUGAACCAAGUUACUCCAGGGAUAACAGCGCUAUCUUCUUCAAGAGUCCAUAUCAAAAAGAAGGUUUACGACCUCGAUGUUGGAUCAGGACACCCUAA
rnacentral:rRNA from 1 species